GAUGAACGCUGGCGGCGUGCCUAAUACAUGCAAGUCGAGCGAACAGACGAGAGUGCUUGCACUCUCUGACGUUAGCGGCGGACGGGUGAGUAACACGUGGGUAACCUACCUAUAAGACUGGGAUAACUUCGGGAAACCGGAGCUAAUACCGGAUAAUAUUUAUCUUCGCAUGAAGCAGUAGUGAAAGACGGUUCUGCUGUCACUUAUAGACGGACCCGCGGUGUAUUAGCUAGUUGGUGAGGUAACGGCUCACCAAGGCAACGAUACAUAGCCGACCUGAGAGGGUGAUCGGCCACACUGGGACUGAGACACGGCCCAGACUACUACGGGAGGCAGCAGUAGGGAAUCUUCCGCAAUGGACGAAAGUCUGACGGAGCAAUGCCGCGUGAGUGAAGAAGGUUUUCGGAUCGUAAAACUCUGUUGUAAGGGAAGAACAAGUACGUUAGUAACUGAACGUACCUUGACGGUACCUUACCAGAAAGCCACGGCUAACUACGUG
rnacentral:rRNA from 1 species